UUAUAAACAGUCAUGUGAAGAUAAAAGGGGCAAAUCCUAACCUCAGUUGGGCUCCUGGAUCCUAACAGAACCAGGUUUGAAAGAAGAAAGGAAUGCAGUGAGGAAAGGAAAUGGACAGGGUUAGUGUAUGCUAAGUUUGCCAUCAAGUGAAAAUUUGUUAGGUAGGAGAUGAAGCUUGAAGUACAUUCAGGUUAAUUUAAAAUUGAAGUGGGGUAGAUGGGAAUCACGGCGGGUCUCUUAAAUGAGUGGCUAAAUCAAAGUAAGGUGUUAAGUGAUUUUGGCUAUUUAAGACAAAUGCGAAGAGGAAGAACCAGUAAGCAGUUAAAGUGGCUUCUAGAGCAUUUCCCCCCACAUUUGAAAUGUGUACUCUCAAUUGUAUAUUUAUACAGAAGUGAAAUAACAUCGAUACUGUUAAUCUGAGUAUUCAGUGUAUUAUUAUUUUAACAAGAAAUACGUAUGCACCAACAUUUUUUAAAAGUUUGAUUCACUCUGAGAGGCCUUCAGAGUGCAAUGGCUUAGUAGUCCCCUUUUGAUCAACAGAUACCCCAGUGGACACAUUUACAAAUACAUAGUAUAGUUCUAAUAUUUUCUUCCCUCUUCUUAAAGAUUGGAGCAUCUCACUUUGAAGACCACAGUCCUAGAAGGCUGUUCAGACAAGUCUAGAAUUCAGGGGAGGAUGCAAAGGAGACCACGGACUGGAGUAGUGUGGCUUUGGAAAUUGACAGUGACAAAAAUAGGGUUCACCUGUAAGGGACGCCAUAGGUAGGGAUUUUUUCUAGGCGUAUGAUGUAGAUCAUCUCUGUACCAAGAACUUCAGUUUGAUGGGCAAUUUUUGAGGCUUUGUGUGGCAAGUUUGAUGCACGGUAUUACAAAGGCAGCAGUGAUGCAAAAUAGGGAGAAGGCGGGUUGUUGGGGAGGAGAUGGGGCAGACCCAUGUUGGCGGCGAUGGCCAAGUUGGGAAGAAGUGCGGAUUUGGAAAACCAAGAUGCGGUCCCUCUAUCCCUGCACCGUAGCUGCAGUACCUGAUCUACUGCAAUUCCUUCAGGUGCUGUUUACUGGUCCGUUCCUACUGUCUCAGGCUCUUCUUUUUCCUACCAUUCCUCUUCACAUUCUACCUAAAUGAUAUUCUCCCCUUGUAGGGAUUGCGAAGAAAUUGCUGCGGAGCAAGGUAAAUGGCCUUUGAGCGCCAGGGCGGAGUCUAACUAAGCUUCCCUUCACCGUAGGGGCCCAAGUGUAAGAUCAAACGCCCGUGGGUGGGCAGGUGGCUGGCGCCGCCCUCCGCCGGUCAGAGGCCCCCGGGGCUGGUGGCGGUGUGCUGGGGCAGCGGGUUUCCCCGCUGCGAGCCCUUUAAGACGGCGGCGCGGCGGAAGCGCGUGGCAGCACGUGGCCGCACUGGGCGCCCUCGGUCGAGCUGCGUGGCCAUGGACGUGGGCGCCGAUGAGUUCGAGCAGAGCCUUCCUCUGUUGCAGGAGCUCGUCCAGGGCGCGGACUUCGUGGGUAAGGCGCCGGGAUUCCGGGCCUCGUCGCCGCAGCCCCCUGGCCGGCGGCAGGGUGUGGUUCGGCCGGCACAGGGCGGAGAGGUGAGGCCCGGCUGGGUGGUUGCCAGGCUGCAGGAGGCUCAAACAGGGCCCCUCCGAAGGACAGGGUGUGUGCCUUCUCGGGCCUGGGGGGGAUGUUAGGCAGCAGGUACAGCCUUGGCCCCAGUUUGGUCCAGGUGGAACGGGGUGGCCUGGCUUGUCCUUGCUUUGGCUUCCUCUGUUCUCCCUUCUUGACCUCUCCUGGCCUCUUGAGCAGCAAGAAGGUGAGCCAGAACUUUUACCACCAGCAGCGUUUACAGCACAAAGAGCCUUGCGAUGGCCUGCGCCUGGGGACUCUUGUCUUUCUUGCCUCCCCUGCAGGUCUAGACAUAGAGUUCACUGGCCUUCGUUCUAACCCGUCCGGGCCCCAGCAGAUCAGUCUGUUUGACUUGCCAUCAGAGUGGUAUCUCAAGACCCGUCAGAGUGUUCAGCAGUUCACCGUCUGUCAGAUUGGAUUGUCUAUGUUUUCCAGUAUUGAAGGCGAGUCAAACAAGUAUGAAGCCCAUUCGUGUAACUUCUUUCUCUUCCCUACAACGUUUGGGAUUUUGGAUUCAGAGUUCUCUUUCCAGGCUUCUAGUGUUCAGUUUUUGAAUGAGCAUGGCUUCGAUUAUAACAAGUUUCUCAAGAAUGGAAUCCCAUAUAUGAACGAAGAACAGGAGAAGAAAAUUAAACACAGCAUCCUGACUGGGAACUGGAGAGUUCGCAGUUCUCUGGAUAAAGACCAAAUCAAGGUGGUGAUUGACGAGGUGACGCGCUGGCUGGACCUGGCAGAGGAAGGCGACUGGAUGACCCUCCCUGGUAUCACCGGCUUCCAGGCCUUCGAGGUCCAGCUUGUGCUGAGGAAGGCCCUCCCCGACAUCUGGACGGUGAUGAGAGACCAGGGGGUGACAGUGAAGAAAGUGAGUAAACGGCAUCGCUGGUAUCUUGAGAACACCUCUUGCGAUCGAGAGAGCUGUUGGCAGGAGAAGAUUCUUCUCUCUGCGAGGGGUUUUUCUGUGUUUUUCCAGAUGCUGGUGAAAGCCCAGAAGCCCUUAGUGGGACAUAAUAUGAUGAUGGAUCUGCUGCAUCUCCAUGAGAAGUUCUUCAGACCUCUCCCAGAAAGCUAUGAAGAAUUUAAGGUGAAUAUCCACAACCUAUUUCCUGUUCUCAUUGACACCAAAAGUGUGGCCAAGGAUAUCUGGAAGGAGCUGAAUUUCCCAAGGGUUUCAAGUCUUUUAGAAGUUUAUGAAGUCCUAAACAGUGACUUGAAUCCCACCAAGAAUUCUGGGCCAGUGAUUAUUCAUGCAAGCAAAUGUGAAAAAUACGUUGAGACAAAGUAUCCCCAUGAAGCAGCAUACGAUGCCUUCCUGUGCGGAUCCGUUCUUUUGAAGGUGGCCCACUUGCUCCUAUGGAGAGCGCACGGGUACGUGGUGGUGUCUGGGUGGAGGCGAGGCUGAGUCAGGACAAGGCUGUGGGGCGAGGGACGGCCAUUUGCAGUCUCGUCGAGGGGCGAUGGAGUGGACCUUCCUCUGAACAGGGGCCUCGCUCAUCCCCUGAGCCUGUGGCUGUUGUUGAUGAGCCUAGGGCCCUUUACCAGACGGCCACCAACAGGUGGUGACCCCUGGAAGUUCUCCCUUGGCUCGGGCCGUGGUGAGAGCUCGCUGGUCGUGUGGGGGAGGCCCGUCAACAGAAGUCCCAGAGCCUGUGAGGGGAGGAGGGAGGGGGGUCUCGGGCAGCACCUUGCCCGUUGUCACCAGAGCCUCAGCUGCGGCCGAGGACGUGGGACACCCCCCGUGGGCCUGAAGGCUUUGGGGUUUUCUGUCUUCGUAGGGUUCUUCCCAUCCCCAAGCCCUCCUUCCCGCUGUACCUCGACGUGCUGGCUCCCUAUGUGAACCAGGUGAAUCUUAUCCGAGCCGGGGUCCCCAAGAUCAAUUUUUCGGGUCCAGAUUACCCCAGUAUCCGCCCUCCCAUCCUCAUU